rnacentral:lncRNA from 1 species
CACAAAUAUAUUUCUCCAGUAACAUUUGAAGAAAAAAAAAAAUUACUGAGAAGAAAAAGGCAAAAUAGACAAAAGAAAGAGAGACCUCAAAGAAGUACAGACACAGAUGAACAUGGGCACUGAACAAUUUUAAGAGGAGCAGAAGAAUCAACAUUGAGCAGUCCACAAUAAAUAAGUGAUGCUCUGUAAAAAAAAUUAAAGGGAUUUUAAAUCAAAUACUCUGUUUAGAAUGUACAGAAUUCAAUCCAAAUGUACAAAAUUUGCUACAUCACUGAGCUAUUAUUUAUUUAAGGACAUUUCCUUCUUUUUCAAAAACAACUUUUUGUAUCACUACAUUGAAUUCCAAGAAUGUCUCUGUAUCUCUUUAUUCCAUAACUUUGAAAUAAUGGAAUGACUUAGGGGUUGAAAGGCUUUAAUUUGAGGGACAAACCAUUUAGAAAUUACAACAUGGUCCUCCCAUUUUAGCAUGUCAACAUUAUUUGGAUUAUUUGUAUUACCAUUGUUUACAGCUUUGAAGCUAUACUUUAACUACAUAGAAAAUGUUUUGAUUCAAAUCCAUGCUUUUGGAGUAAAGACCUAAAAGAAGAAAACUUCACUGUCCCAGUAAUUACAGAGGGCAUUGUAUAUUUUUUCACAGUUUUAUUUGAAACAUUGCAAAAAGGCCUGCUCAGGUUGUACGUUGCUCACUGGUAGCUUCCCGACCAGGGUGUCAGAGUUUCAUUUGUGGGCUCAUCCUUGAAGACCAGGGACUGAUGCGUGAUUGAAAAAACAUGCUUAAGAAUCAUUCUGGGGGUCUGGCGGGAAUGGAUUACAUUUGUAUCCCAACAGUUGAAAAAGGUCCAACAGGUUCUGGCAUUAUUAGCUACACUGACCGUUAUUGUUUAAAUUGUUCCAUCGGCUACAGGAUCCGGUCGGCAAAGCUUGAUUGUUCAUGUAAGUAAUUAUUUCCUUGACUUUUGCAUAGCUGACUAAGUGGUAACAUGCAAUGUUCGCUAGUACAGCUAGCUAGCUGACAACCUAAACAAACUAGACCAUGCAGACAUUUGGAUGAUCCAGAAGUGACUGAAAGGGGGCAUACUACUCAGAAAGAUGCACUUUUGAGGUAUACUGAAUAUGCAACUGUUGUGGGUAAGAACAUUUGUUUGAGAGAGGGCAUGGGAGGUCCAGUCUAGGUCCUUGUGUUUUGACGUUCUUGGAGAGUUUUAAUACUUAUUCUUUAUUUUUCAAAAAAUAUGUUAUUUUGUCCUAUGUAGAUAAGUAAAGAGAGAUUAUUUAAAAGGUAUACUAAAAUACACUGAUAUGCUGUAAAU